rfam:Oryza glumipatula chromosome 9, whole genome shotgun sequence.
UACAACGUUUGACUCUUCGUCUUAUUUAAAUUUUUUUUAUGAUUAGUAUUUUUAUUGUUAUUAGAUGAUAGAAGAUGAAAAAUACUUUAUACAUGACUAUUUGUUAAUAUUUUUUUAUAAAUUUUUUAAAUAAGAUGAAUAGUCAAACGUUGAACACAGAAACCUA